GAUGAACGCUGGCGGCGUGCUUAACACAUGCAAGUCGAACGAUGAAGCCCAGCUUGCUGGGUGGAUUAGUGGCGAACGGGUGAGUAACACGUGAGUAACCUGCCCUUGACUCUGGGAUAAGCCUGGGAAACUGGGUCUAAUACUGGAUAUGACUUCUCAUCGCAUGGUGGGGGGUGGAAAGAUUUAUUGGUCUUGGAUGGACUCGCGGCCUAUCAGCUUGUUGGUGAGGUAAUGGCUCAUCAAGGCGACGACGGGUAGCCGGCCUGAGAGGGUGACCGGCCACACUGGGACUGAGACACGGCCCAGACUCCUACGGGAGGCAGCAGUGGGGAAUAUUGCACAAUGGGCGCAAGCCUGAUGCAGCGACGCCGCGUGAGGGAUGACGGCCUUCGGGUUGUAAACCUCUUUCAGUAGGGAAGAAGCGAGAGUGACGGUACCUGCAGAAGAAGCGCCGGCUAACUACGUG
rnacentral:rRNA from 1 species